UACGAAGGGGGCUAGCGUUGUUCGGAUUAACUGGGCGUAAAGGGUGCGUAGGCGGGGUUUUAAGUCAGGGGUGAAAUGCCGAGGCUCAACUUCGGAACUGCCUUUGAUACUGGAACUCUUGAGUCUGGGAGAGGUGAGUGGAACUGCGAGUGUAGAGGUGAAAUUCGUAGAUAUUCGCAAGAACACCAGUGGCGAAGGCGGCUCACUGGCCCGGAACUGACGCUGAUGCACGAAAGCUAGGGGAGCAAACAGG
rnacentral:rRNA from 1 species